rnacentral:rRNA from 1 species
ACGACGCUGGCGGCGUGCCUAACACAUGCAAGUCGAACGCGAACGGAAUCUUCGGAUUCCAAGUAGAGUGGCGCACGGGUGAGUAACACGUGGAUAACCUGCCCCAAGAUCUGGGAUAACAUUUCGAAAGAAGUGCUAAUACCGGAUAAGCCCACGCUUUCUUCGGAGAAAGUGGGAAAAGAUUUAUCGUCUUGGGAUGGGUCCGCGGUCCAUUAGCUAGUUGGUGGGGUAAUGGCCUACCAAGGCUGCGAUGGAUAGCUGGUCUGAGAGGAUGAUCAGCCACACUGGAACUGAGACACGGUCCAGACUCCUACGGGAGGCAGCAGUGGGGAAUUUUGCGCAAUGGGGGAAACCCUGACGCAGCAACGCCGCGUGAAGGAUGAAGGCCUUUGGGUCGUAAACUUCUGUCAGAGGGGAAGAAAUGCCCGCAAGGGUGCUGACGGUACCCUCAAAGGAAGCACCGGCUAACUCCGUGCCAGCCGCCGCGGUAAUAC